GGGUUGUGAGGUUAAGCGACUAAGCGUACACGGUGGAUGCCCUGGCAGUCAGAGGCGAUGAAGGGCGUGCUAAUCUGCGAUAAGCGCCGGUAAGGUGAUAUGAACCGUUAUAACCGGCGAUACCCGAAUGGGGAAACCCAGUGUGAUUCGUCACACUAUCAUUAACUGAAUCCAUAGGUUAAUGAGGCGAACCGGGGGAACUGAAACAUCUAAGUACCCCGAGGAAAAGAAAUCAACCGAGAUUCCCCCAGUAGCGGCGAGCGAACGGGGAGGAGCCCAGAGCCUGAAUCAGCAUGUGUGUUAGUGGAAGCGUCUGGAAAGGCGCGCGAUACAGGGUGACAGCCCCGUACACAAAAGCGCAUGUGCUGUGAGCUCGAUGAGUAGGGCGGGACACGUGGUAUCCUGUCUGAAUAUGGGGGGACCAUCCUCCAAGGCUAAAUACUCCUGACUGACCGAUAGUGAACCAGUACCGUGAGGGAAAGGCGAAAAGAACCCCGGCGAGGGGAGUGAAAAAGAACCUGAAACCGUGUACGUACAAGCAGUGGGAGCACCCUUUGGGUGUGACUGCGUACCUUUUGUAUAAUGGGUCAGCGACUUAUAUUCUGUAGCAAGGUUAACCGAAUAGGGGAGCCGGAGGGAAACCGAGUCUUAAUUGGGCGUUAAGUUGCAGGGUAUAGACCCGAAACCCGGUGAUCUAGCCAUGGGCAGGUUGAAGGUUGGGUAACACUAACUGGAGGACCGAACCGACUAAUGUUGAAAAAUUAGCGGAUGACCUGUGGCUGGGGGUGAAAGGCCAAUCAAACCGGGAGAUAGCUGGUUCUCCCCGAAAGCUAUUUAGGUAGCGCCUCGUGAAUUCAUCUCCGGGGGUAGAGCACUGUUUCGGCUAGGGGGCCAUCCCGGCUUACCAACCCGAUGCAAACUGCGAAUACCGGAGAAUGUUAUCACGGGAGACACACGGCGGGUGCUAACGUCCGUCGUGAAGAGGGAAACAACCCAGACCGCCAGCUAAGGUCCCAAAGUCAUGGUUAAGUGGGAAACGAUGUGGGAAGGCCCAGACAGCCAGGAUGUUGGCUUAGAAGCAGCCAUCAUUUAAAGAAAGCGUAAUAGCUCACUGGUCGAGUCGGCCUGCGCGGAAGAUGUAACGGGGCUAAACCAUGCACCGAAGCUGCGGCAGCGACGCUUAUGCGUUGUUGGGUAGGGGAGCGUUCUGUAAGCCUGCGAAGGUGGCCUGUGAGGGUUGCUGGAGGUAUCAGAAGUGCGAAUGCUGACAUAAGUAACGAUAAAGCGGGUGAAAAGCCCGCUCGCCGGAAGACCAAGGGUUCCUGUCCAACGUUAAUCGGGGCAGGGUGAGUCGACCCCUAAGGCGAGGCCGAAAGGCGUAGUCGAUGGGAAACGGGUUAAUAUUCCCGUACUUGGUGUUACUGCGAAGGGGGGACGGAGAAGGCUAUGUUGGCCGGGCGACGGUUGUCCCGGUUUAAGCGUGUAGGUGUGUGUUCCAGGUAAAUCCGGUUCACUUUAACACUGAGGCGUGACGACGAGGCACUACGGUGCUGAAGCAACAAAUGCCCUGCUUCCAGGAAAAGCCUCUAAGCAUCAGGUAACAUCAAAUCGUACCCCAAACCGACACAGGUGGUCAGGUAGAGAAUACCAAGGCGCUUGAGAGAACUCGGGUGAAGGAACUAGGCAAAAUGGUGCCGUAACUUCGGGAGAAGGCACGCUGACACGUAGGUGAAGUGAUUUACUCAUGGAGCUGAAGUCAGUCGAAGAUACCAGCUGGCUGCAACUGUUUAUUAAAAACACAGCACUGUGCAAACACGAAAGUGGACGUAUACGGUGUGACGCCUGCCCGGUGCCGGAAGGUUAAUUGAUGGGGUCAGCGCAAGCGAAGCUCCUGAUCGAAGCCCCGGUAAACGGCGGCCGUAACUAUAACGGUCCUAAGGUAGCGAAAUUCCUUGUCGGGUAAGUUCCGACCUGCACGAAUGGCGUAAUGAUGGCCAGGCUGUCUCCACCCGAGACUCAGUGAAAUUGAACUCGCUGUGAAGAUGCAGUGUACCCGCGGCAAGACGGAAAGACCCCGUGAACCUUUACUAUAGCUUGACACUGAACAUUGAGCCUUGAUGUGUAGGAUAGGUGGGAGGCUUUGAAGUGUGGACGCCAGUCUGCAUGGAGCCGACCUUGAAAUACCACCCUUUAAUGUUUGAUGUUCUAACGUGGACCCGUUACCCGGGUUGCGGACAGUGUCUGGUGGGUAGUUUGACUGGGGCGGUCUCCUCCUAAAGAGUAACGGAGGAGCACGAAGGUUGGCUAAUCCUGGUCGGACAUCAGGAGGUUAGUGCAAUGGCAUAAGCCAGCUUGACUGCGAGCGUGACGGCGCGAGCAGGUGCGAAAGCAGGUCAUAGUGAUCCGGUGGUUCUGAAUGGAAGGGCCAUCGCUCAACGGAUAAAAGGUACUCCGGGGAUAACAGGCUGAUACCGCCCAAGAGUUCAUAUCGACGGCGGUGUUUGGCACCUCGAUGUCGGCUCAUCACAUCCUGGGGCUGAAGUAGGUCCCAAGGGUAUGGCUGUUCGCCAUUUAAAGUGGUACGCGAGCUGGGUUUAGAACGUCGUGAGACAGUUCGGUCCCUAUCUGCCGUGGGCGCUGGAGAACUGAGGGGGGCUGCUCCUAGUACGAGAGGACCGGAGUGGACGCAUCACUGGUGUUCGGGUUGUCAUGCCAAUGGCACUGCCCGGUAGCUAAAUGCGGAAGAGAUAAGUGCUGAAAGCAUCUAAGCACGAAACUUGCCCCGAGAUGAGUUCUCCCUGAGACUUAGAGUCUCCUGAAGGAACGUUGAAGACGACGACGUUGAUAGGCCGGGUGUGUAAGCGCAGCGAUGCGUUGAGCUAACCGGUACUAAUGAACCGUGAGGCUUAACCUUACAACGCCGAAG
rnacentral:rRNA from 1 species